rnacentral:rRNA from 1 species
AUGGUUCCUGCUGCUGAGAAUUUUCGAGCCCUCAUUCCGGAUGUGGUGAAUUUUGGUCCCCGAAUUGAGCUUCCGCGCUUUGAUGGUUCAAAUCCUAAACUGUGGCAAUCUCGUUGUGAGGAUUACUUUAAGUUUUGGAACACUCCUCAGCACCAGUGGAUUUCAUUUGCGUCUUCACAGUUCGAGGGUACAGCGGCUCGUUGGUUAGAAUCGGUCCAGCGACGAGCACCUAAUGUCAAUUGGCCUGAUUUCUGUGGAUUGUUACAGUCUCGUUUUGGACGCAACAAGCAUCAGAACCUUGUUCGUCAGAUGUUUCAUAUUCGACAGACGAGCACAGUAGAGGAUUACGUUGAGCGUUUCUCUGAAUUGUAUGAUCAGUUGACUGCUUAUGAAUCCAAUCCGAGUACUGUCCAUUAUGUCUGCUAG